CCUACGGGUGGCAGCAGUGGGGAAUAUUGCACAAUGCGGGAAACCCUGAUGCAGCGACGCCGCGUGAGUGACGAAGUAUUUCGGUCUGUCAAGCUCUGUCAGCAGGGAAGAAAAUGACGGUACCUGACCAAGAAGCCCCGGCUAACUACGUGCCAGCAGCCGCGGUAAUACGUAGGGGGCAAGCGUUAUCCGGAUUUACUGGGUGUAACGGGAGCGUAGACGGCAGGGCAAGUCUGUAGUGAAAGGCGGGGGCUCAACCCCAGGACUGCUCUGGAAACUGGCAGGCUGGAGUGCAGGAGAGGUAAGUGGAAGUCCUGGUGUAGCGGUGAAAUGCGUAGAUAGUAGGAGGAACACCAGUGGCGAAGGCGGCUUACUGGACUGUAACUGACGUUGAGGCUCGAAAGCGUGGGGAGCAAACAGGAUUAGAUACCCUUGUAGUC
rnacentral:rRNA from 1 species